UUUUGUACAGCCUGGGGUAGCAGCUCAGACUAAACUCGGCUUUCUCAACACAAGGACACCAAUGGCUCAAGAGACUUGAGAACACUUUCUCUGAGACCAUUGGUUUCAGAUGCCUGGGAACCGCGUCUCUGGUCACUGUGAUGAGGCAAAUGCUAUCAGGCCAUGGCAUGCAGUAGCAAAAUGCUAUCAUCUGGAGAUACUGUAAUCAAGUGGAUACUUUGACCAAGUUACAGAGAGCCAGCUUUGGGAUGCCACAAGGGCUCAGGAGUUACAGAUGGUUGAGCUGCCUGGCGUCAGUGAUGGGAACCGAACCCAGGUUCUCUGGAAGGACAGCAACUGCUAUUAACCAAGCUGAGGACUGAACCCAGGACCUUCCCUCGCUAAGGAUCUCCACUUCUAACCUGGAUCUUGAGGUGGGAAGACACACGCCUUUAAUCUGGGCCACAUCUUCUGCCAGAAGCCUCACAGGACGUGGAAGAAGGAAGCUUUGCUUUCUGCCUGCUUGCCCUCCUUGCCAGCACAUCCAUUCCUUCACUGGCAGUAGAGUCUACGUUCUUGGGAUUCCAGCACAUACUGAAGACCAGCAGAGGCAUCCAGCCUCGUGGACUGAGCAACUACUGGAUUCUUGGACUUUGUGUUCAUAGGCAGCCAUUGUUGGACU